GACGAACGCUGGCGGCGUGCCUAACACAUGCAAGUCGAACGGAUAGGCCCUGCUUUCGUGGGGUGAUCGAGUGGCGAACGGGUGAGUAACAGGAGAGUAACCUGCCCUUCACUUUGGGAUAACUUCAGGAAACUGGGGCUAAUCUCGGAUAGGAGCUCCCGUUGCAUGGUGGGGGUUGGAAAGUUUCGGCGGUUGGGGAUGGACUCGCGGGUUAUCAGCUUGUUGGUGGGGUGGUGGCUUACCAAGGCUUUGACGGGUAGCCGGCCUGAGAGGGUGACCGGCCACAUUGGGACUGAGAUACGGCCCAGUCUCCUACGGGAGGCAGCAGUGGGAAAUAUUGCACAAUGGGCGGAAGCCUGAUGCAGCAACGCCGCGUGCGGAAUGACGGCCUUCUGGUUGUAAACCGCUUUCGCCUGUGACGAAGCGUGAGUGACGGUAAUGGGUAAAGAAGCACCGGCUAACUACGUG
rnacentral:rRNA from 1 species